rnacentral:pre_miRNA from 1 species
AUAGCAGGGGUGGCCAAGCUGGGGCUCGCGAGCCGCACGCGGCUCGCGAGCCCCAGCUUGGCCACCCUUGCUAU